UACGUAGGGUGCGAGCGUUGUCCGGAAUUAUUGGGCGUAAAGAGCUUGUAGGUGGCUCGUUGCGUCGGGAGUGAAAACCUGCGGCUUAACCGCAGGCCUGCUUCCGAUACGGGCGAGCUAGAGUUCGGCAGGGGAGACUGGAAUUCCUGGUGUAGCGGUGGAAUGCGCAGAUAUCAGGAGGAACACCGGUGGCGAAGGCGGGUCUCUGGGCCGAUACUGACACUGAGAAGCGAAAGCGUGGGAGCGAACAGG
rnacentral:rRNA from 1 species